AUGAAUUUAUAAUCCGGCGAGACGAAGGACGAGGACUGUCGCUGGCCUUUCAUCGAGGCAUGUGCACGCUCUCUUCUGGACUUUCGCCGUAUGGGCGCGGGGCGACCCGCGUCUUCAUAUACCUCUUCGUGUAGAAAGUCUUAGAAUGUUUACUAUCAGAGAGUCGCGACUUCUAGGAGACGCGAAUCUCUGAGAUAAAAGUUAAUUA
rnacentral:misc_RNA from 1 species